UGCUCAAGAAGGACAUUGUCAUCCACCUUAUUGAUCAAGUGCUCAUGCCAGACUCAGCUAAACAGGUGAUGGAACUGGUUGGAAGUUCCCAGUCAACCUUUGGAGACACGGUGUCUGAGCUAGGCCUUUCUGCUUCCAUGCAAUCUGCCGCUGAGUACACUUUGCUUGCCCCCCUCAACACUGUCUUCAAUGGUGGAUCUGUGAAAUGAAACACCUCUUCCCAAAGCGUGACUUCCC